GAGUCCCUACGGGGCGCAGCAGUAGGGAAUAUUGCUCAAUGGGGGAAACCCUGAAGCAGCAACGCCGCGUGGAGGAUGACGGUUUUCGGAUUGUAAACUCCUUUUGUUAGAGAAGAUAAUGACGGUAUCUAACGAAUAAGCACCGGCUAACUCCGUGCCAGCAGCCGCGGUAAUACGGCGGGUGCAAGCGUUACUCGGAAUCACUGGGCGUAAAGAGCGCGUAGGCGGGAUAGCAAGUCAGAUGUGAAAUCCUAUGGCUUACCCUUAGAAUU
rnacentral:rRNA from 1 species